rnacentral:ncRNA from 1 species
UGUCUUCAGGGCAGGGUGUAAUUCCCGAUUGGCGGUAUAGUCCGCGCGCGUAUUACGCAAAAGGCGCAUGACGCAGAUUUGGUGUGAUUCCAAAACCAACAGUAUAGUCUGGAUGAAAGAAGAU